GCCCACACCAAGUGCCAUAAACCAAUUUCUGGCCACAAUGCAUCUGGAGAAUAUAACUGGCACUCACUGGUCUGCCAAAGUAGGAAGUUACUCAGUCGGGACUCUCCAGAACUUCGAAUAAGGAUGUCAGGUUCAGGAGCUACAGCCAUGUACAUCUGUUUCUCAAUGUCUACUAGCUUUACAAUAGAACACUCUCCCUGCAUAUUCUUGUUCCCUUCGGAUGGAGUCACACCACUGCCAGUUCUAUUUUCCAUCACUGCUUGAUAGUUAUCCCAUUUAUCUUCAUAGGAUCCU
rnacentral:misc_RNA from 1 species